UUAGCAGAAUAAACAGAAUCGUCAGGAGGCAGAAGCUUUUCCCCUGGCAAUGAGAUCCAGCUGCAGGCUGGAUGGGGAGCAGGCACCGCAUCUGGCAGCGAGCGAAUUCCUCCGAGGGAUUGGACAGAGUGGCACAGCCUCCUCUGCACCUCGGGGCCUGGCAUCUUGUACCUGCAGUGAGCAAUCCCCAGGGAAACGGGAGGAAACUCUUAAUUCUUCUUACUGAUCCAGACUGCUGCUCAGCAAAUCCCCUCGCCACUGGAGCUGCAGAUCUGAAAUGGCAUUAAAGAGGAAAUCAACCUUUUGCACAGUUUCCUCUUGGAAACAGUUCAGUUCUCCAGUCCUUCGGCUUCCUUCUGAUGGUGAGAAGCACAUUGUGAGCGAUCCUGCCCCAGGCCCAGGCCGGGCCCUCCUGCCAGGAGCCACCCGCCAUGGACGAGUUGAGCCUGCCACCUCCUGGUGACACUCUCCAGGACUGACCACAGCUUGCAGCUUUACAGCAGCACAUCCUGGCACUUCUCCGAGGCCCCUCGAGCCCCCUGACCCCAGAGAUCUUUGCUGCUGUGGAGUUGUCCUUGUGGCUCUCCUGUGGGGUGUGGGCCUGUGGUUCCCCCUCUCUUGUCGGGGUGAGGCUCAGAAGCUCAGCUCUGUCCCCUGUGAUGUGCUUGAGUUUGGUGUCUGAUGCUUUGAGGGCCUGGAUUUCCUGUGUGGAGAGCACACAGCACAUGGAAAAGAGGUGGAUUUCUGAGGAGGAGGGUCCAAGUUAUCCUCUGGAGUGCGGCAGUGCAUCCUCAGUGUUUGGCUCUGAGCCUUGCCUGGAGCACAUCCCAGUUUUGGCCACCUGUUGCCCCUGGGUGGCUGGUGCUGGGUGCUGAGGGAGCCUGGCUUGCCCUGGGAGCUCACAGAGCCGUGUCCCUGCUCUGUGCAGUGUCUCUGGGUAAUGUCAUUGCAGCCACACUCAAAUACCAUCUCUAUGGUGAUGACUCAGGCAUGCAGCCCCUCUCCGGGCUCUCCUCUCCCUGUCCAAAUUCAUAUCUCAGAGGAGCUCUCUGACAUCUCGUGAAUGUCUCACCACCCUUUCAAGCACAGCACGGCCAAAUCAGAGCUUUUAACCUCUCCUUCUCAGCUCAGGGACUCCCUGAGCUCAGCAGCACCAGGAUGUUGCUUUGCUGCCAGAACCUGAGUCCUGGUUUCAUCUCCUGCCUCCUCACAUGUCUUCACAUCCUGGGCACAUCAACAGCUUGCAUAACCUUGCUAAGCCUUUCCUAAAGCUACAGCUCUCACCUUCUCUUUCAUCACAUCCCCCUCCACUUGUUGCAAUAUCCUUUUUUGGCCUCAACAAACUCGCUAUGGGCCAGCUUGCAUCCACAGGGAUGCUGUUUCAGACAUUGCUUCCCACCUUUCCUGCCUCUCCUCCCUCAUCCUCUGGGCUGCCCUGCUGCCCACAGCCACCCUCUGCCUUCCCUUGAUCCCACCCAUGUCCCUGCCAGCUGCCAGGCCUGUAUCCUCCUUUUAAUUCCUCAUUUUAUUUCUAAAUUGUCAGCUUUGGGCUCACAGGCA